AUUGAACGCUGGCGGCAGGCCUAACACAUGCAAGUCGAACGAGUGGCGGACGGGUGAGUCAUGUCUGUGAAACUGCCCGAUGGAGGGGGAUAACUACUGGAAACGGUAGCUAAUACCGCAUACCAUCGGAUGUGCCCAGAUGGGAUUAGCUAGUAGGUGGGGUAACGGCUCACCUAGGCGACGAUCCCUAGCUGGUCUGAGAGGAUGACCAGCCAGACGGGAACUGAGACACGGUCCAGACGCCUACGGGAGGCAGCAGUGGGGAAAAUUGCACAAUGGGCGCAAGCCUGAUGCAGCCGUGCCGAGUGUAUGAAGAAGGCCUUCGGGUUGUAAAGUACUUUCAGCGAGGAGGCGUUACGCGCAGAAGAAGCACCGGCUAACUACGUGCCAGCAGCCGCGGUAAUUC
rnacentral:rRNA from 1 species